rnacentral:tRNA from 1 species
GCGACUGUAGCUCAAUUGGAUAGAGUGACAGCCUCCGAAGCUGUAGGUUGCGGGUUCGAUCCCCGCCAGUCGCACCA